GACGAACGCUGGCGGCGUGCUUAACACAUGCAAGUCGAACGGAAAGGCCCUGCUUUUGUGGGCUGCUCGAGUGGCGAACGGGUGAGUGACACGUGAGUAACCUGCCCUAGACUUUGGGAUAACUUCAGGAAACUGGGGCUAAUACCGGAUAGGAGCUCCUCUUGCAUGGUGGGGGUUGGAAAGUUUCGGCGGUUGGGGAUGGACUCGCGGCUUAUCAGCUUGUUGGUUGGGUAGUGGCUUACCAAGCCAUUGGAGGGUAGCCGGCCUGGGAGGGUGACCGGCCACAUUGGGACUGAGGUACGGCCCAGACUCCUACGGGAGGCAGCAGUGGGGAGUAUUGUACAAUGGGCGGAAGCGUGAUGCAGCGACGUCGCGUGCGGGAAGACGGCCUUCGGGUUGUAAACCGCAUUCGCCUGUGACGAAGCGUGAGUGACGGUAAUGGGUAAAGAAGCACCGGCUAACUACGUG
rnacentral:rRNA from 1 species